GAUGAACGCUGGCGGCGUGCCUAAUACAUGCAAGUCGAACGCUGAAGGAAGGAGCUUGCUCUUUCCGGAUGAGUUGCGAACGGGUGAGUAACGCGUAGGUAACCUGCCUGGUAGCGGGGGAUAACUAUUGGAAACGAUAGCUAAUACCGCAUAACAGUAGAUGUUGCAUGAUAUCUACUUAAAAGGUGCAAUUGCACCACUACCAGAUGGACCUGCGUUGUAUUAGCUAGUUGGUGAGGUAACGGCUCACCAAGGCGACGAUACAUAGCCGACCUGAGAGGGUGAUCGGCCACACUGGGACUGAGACACGGCCCAGACUCCUACGGGAGGCAGCAGUAGGGAAUCUUCGGCAAUGGACGGAAGUCUGACCGAGCAACGCCGCGGGAGUGAAGAAGGGUUUCGGAUCGUAAAGCUCUGUUGUAAGAGAAGAACGAGUGUGAGAGUGGAAAGUUCACACUGUGACGGUAUCUUACCAGAAAGGGACGGCUAACUACGUG
rnacentral:rRNA from 1 species